GAUCCUCCCCUGAAUCUAGAGCCACCCGAAGUAUCCUUGUCCUGGUGAGCACUUCUGUGUCUUUGUACACUCUCUCUUCAAUCUUUCACAUUUCUUUCGCUCUUUUUAACAAUCGCAGCAGGUGGCUGGUGAACUCUGCUGCACUCAUUACUGCAUGUUUCCCAACCGUAAGCCCCUAUAUUCUCAUGAGUCAUGACCUCAGAGUAUCCAGGCUCUUCUUUUCUUGUAUAAAGAUUAAAUAAUCACCUAAUCUUAUGAGACAUAUGUAAAUUGCUUGUAUUUGCACUUUGUUCAGCUGUUUAUUCAUCCCUCUUUGAGUCCUAAGUACAAUUAUUAAACAGUCACUUACAAGGGUGGUAAACAAAACAGUUUAGUUUGUGCUCCUAAAGAAGCAAUACAAUUUUAAAUACAUUAUUGUGCAAUUAUCAUAUAAAUACUUAUGUAAAUGAAAUUUUAUUAAUGCUUGUAAGAGAGCUUCAGAGUCUAGGCAGUAUUAAGCAGGAGUUGAGACUUACGGAGAAGUGUUUGUGUAUGUAACUAUCAAUCUGGAAUAAUAAUUUUCCCAGAAAUAAAGUAUGCAUGGAACUGUAGGAAACGCUACAUGACAUAAACAGCAUCCAAGAUGGUCAUUCAAGAAAAAAAAUCCCAGAAAAGAGUGAACAGUGUGGUGUUAGGCUGAAGGGUAUUUCAGAUUCAGAGAGUAAAGAUUUGAGGGGUCCUAAAUAUGAACGUCUUCUAUUUAAUCUUUGAAGAGAUUGCACUCAUUUGAAAUGUGAUGUUACGAAUGCACAUUAGCACAUUUAAACAUUUUCAUUUGGAAGUGGCCAGUAAGAUCUAGAGUGGCUGAAAGAGAGCACAAAACAUGUUUUUGCUAAUUUUUUAAAGACAUCAGGUGAGCGUUGAAAAUUUUAAAAUACGUGAUUUCUGGGGUAAAAUUGCAUGUAAUUUGAGAUCUGUAAAAAGGCAUUUUUUUCCUAUAAUAUUCAGAAGCUAAUUUGGCAUUUUUGCAAGUAAAAGAAUUCAAGAUGCAAAUCCCAAGGCUGCCAGUAAGAGUAGCUCAUAGGGCUUCCCUGGUGGCGCAGUGGUUGAGAGUCCGCCUGCCGAUGCUAGGGGACGUGGGUUCGUGCCCCAGUCUGGGAGGAUCCCACAUGCCGCGGAGCGGCUGGCCCCGUGAGCCAUGGCCGCUGAGCCUGCGCGUCUGGAGCCUGUGCUCCGCAACGGAGAGGCCACAACAAUGAGAGGCCCGCGUACAGCAAAAAAAAAAAAAAAAAAAAAAUCUUUAAACUUAAAAAAAAAAAUACAUUGGUAUGGGUGCAUGCACACUUAAUAGGAUAUUUCAAAAUAUUUAAUGCUCUCAAAUAAUAUUUAGAAAAUGGACAUGUUUCCCUUGUUUUAUUUUUAUCUCAAUUAAUGCACUUUAUAGAUGUGAUAAAAUAUAAGUAUUAUGUAAGGAGUGGGGAGAGAACAAACUAUAGCCAUACAAUUCUUAGAACAUAGAAACACACAUACAAUAGGGCAAAAACACCAAAAAAAAUCAUCUGUUAAUUCAGUUAUAAUGUGCAUUAUUACUUAAUAUUGAUCAUUACUUCCUUUGUGUAUCAUCAAAUACACAUUUAUGACAUCAUUUCCAAAGGCUUUUGUCCCUUUCCAACAUACAUUUUAAUCCAUCCUCCAUUGCUGCCUUUGGUUUAUUUUCAAAGAAAGCUAUGAUGUAAACACCUUCAUGCACCUCCUCUCUGAAGACGGAGGCUCUCUCACCUACAGAUAGGAGGUCGCUGCAAAUCAUUUUGUGAAUGCAUGUGGCCCCAGGGAGAGGAGGGGGUGAAAGGACCUAAGGACUCAGGGUAACUUUUGAGAGAAUUCUGAGAGCAAAGUCUCACACAAUCCCAAUGUCAUUGUGUGAUUCCUGUCAAUCACCUCCCCUUCCCCAAGGGCAUAUGAACUAGGCUAUGACAGGGCCAUGCCCAUAACAAAAAAGGCCCCAUCCCCAGGAUAUCAGGCUGACAGAGCCAGUGCUUCUAGAAAUUACAGCCCCAAAUUGCUCACCCUACUCAGAGGUCUCAGGUGUGCUGUGUGUGAUAUCUCUAUAGCUCAGUGCUAUGGAAAACAGGUCUUGUAGGUAGUAACAUCAGCACCAACAGAGAACUUGUUAAACAUGUCAUUUCAUGGGUUCACCUCAAACCUGCUGAUUCAUAACUUCUUAGAUUGGGGAGCUGAGCCCCAAAAGAUUUGCAUUCACUUUAAAGCUUCAGAGAAAACGUUUAGCUAAGUGAUUCUUAUCUGGUUUCCCAGCGGAAUCACAUGACCAAUAUCAAUAAAUCACAUCACCUGUGCCCUCCCCACAGCGUCUGGCUAUUGGUGCUGUGGGAGCGUCAGCGUUGUUUGUAUUACGUGCUCCAGGUGAUUCUAAGGUGACGCCUGGGUGAAAUACGUCGGCUCCCGGCUACAUUUGUGAGAGUUCAGACAAAGCUUCAGUCCUGGGAGAGGCAGCGGGGUCGCCUGUACGUGGGGUUGGAAGGGGAAUGUCAGUGCAGCCCACAUAUUCUGUGUUAGAAGAAUUUUUGGUUGUCUGUAUGAGGAGAGAACACGUGUAGACAACAAAGAAAAACCUCAGUUUGUUUUCCUUGUAGGAGCUGAUUGUUCCCCAGUCUCUCCCGAGACAAAGGACAGGAGAGGUUGGCUUUUUCAGCAUUUCAAGGUCCUUCUGCCUGUGGCUGUGCUGGGAGCAGGUGAAGGAGCUGUGCUGACACCGUUGACGGCAUAUUCUCAAGAUGCUGGUGUGAUUCCUCAACAUAAUAUUGAUGAGAAAAGGACCCAGCACAGGAGGAGAAAGGAGGAAACGGCAGUUUCUCAGGUCCUCUUUUUGGAGUAAAAGAAGAAUCCCUGAGAUGUGAAGGGAAUGGAGACAGUAGCUGUAUAACCAGGUACGUGCGAAUGGAUGAAGCAGAUGACACAGGUGAGAGGUCCAAAGAUCGCAGAGGAAGUCAUAUCUUAUAAUAUGGCUUGGGAAGGCAUGCUUCAAUGGAAAUGAUUUUUGCGAAGCCUAGAUUUAUUUCUGUUGCUGUCAUAGAGGGGCAUCUCCUGCCCCCAUCUUAGGCUCUUAAAUCCUCCAUGUAUUCGUCUUCAGCCCCAGUGAUUAUCCCUCACCUUCACAGUGAGAGCCAAAAUCCUCCUCUUGGCCUGUGAUGACCCUCAUGACCUGACUGCUGUUCGGUUGCUUUGGAGGUUCUAGGGAAAACUGUUUACAUUUCUGAGUAACUCUAUGUUAAGUUCUGUUUCUGCCUCAAGUCAGAACUGUGUGAGGAGAGUCAUGGAGAUAUUGGGAUUAGGUGACAAAAUUCUUGGAAUACCCAAUCCAAUGGAAACUUCAAACAUGACCCUACAAAGUUCAGACUCAGUCAUUUCAUCAGAGCAUCAAGCAUCUCCCCAGAAUUAGAGAAUGUAAUCCUCCAUUUUACUUCCAAUGAACUAACAUGAGACAUUUUUACUUUCUAUGAACUAACGUGAGACAUUUUAAGUGUACUUGCCCAAUCCAUCAAUGGUAGAAUAACUUAAUAUGUUUAUUUAUCUCAUAGAAGUCUUGAAUAUGUUCAUUCCAUAGCAGCGCUUGGAACAUAGGCUACCAUAUUUUAAAGUCCCAAUUGUUGUUUAAUUUCCUAAUAACUGUAAGUUUAUAAGUCUGCCUUAUUUAAUAUGGCGUUAUGCUUGCUGCGUCCUGUAUUUUUUCACUUUCUCGUUAGUUCUGUGUCAAAAUCAUACAUGAUUUUAGAGUCAAAAGAUCUAGUAUAACAUGCUCAGGUGAAAACGUCUUUGGUAAGAAGGGCCUUAGAUAAUUAGAAGGCACCCUGUAUUUGUGAAAAUCUGUGGUUCAUUUCUCCAACCAAAAAGUAGUCAUCUUAUUCAUUUACUUUCCUCAGUGUGUAUCUGAAUCAUGGUAUGAUGUGAUCACAACUAUUAUUUUAUAUAUCGAUGAUUCUCUGCAGAUUUUACAACUUUCAUGUUCUUUUAUUUUUAAAUAAGGUUUUAUUUUUCUUCUAAAGUAUGGGUUACAGCCUUGAUAAUUUGUGUAUGUAUAGCAGUAAUAAUAACAUGACAAAUUUCUCUGCUGUUAUUUAAAUAAUUCAUUCAAAUUUUCCAUUAGAGAUUUUUAAAUGAUUCAUUGUAAUGCAUUUUCUGUGAAAUUCUCCUGCCUUGCAACACAUGCCAGUGAUUCAGAAUGGUUGCUUUAUGCGUGCAUAAACCAUUUCGAAAUUAUAGUAUUUAGAAGGAUUAUAUUUUAAUAGUAUAUACAUGAUUUUUCAGAAAUUGAGAGUAAAAUUUUCUCUUAUUCUUGUUUAGCAAUUCCAUAACUAUUUGCUUUUUUUUUAAAUGAUAGGUUCUCCCAAGUUAGUUAAUUGUAUUUUUGUCUUUACCUAUAUUUCAUGAAUGUACAUGGCAAUUUUCAACUCAGUACACUUAAGACAGUGUGGUGUUGCAUUCAAAUUUGAAUGUCCCAUAUGUCCACUGCCAAUAAAAUUAUGCAUGUCUUUGUCUUUUAA